UACGUAGGUGGCAAGCGUUAUCCGGAAUUAUUGGGCGUAAAGCGCGCGUAGGCGGUUUUUUAAGUCUGAUGUGAAAGCCCACGGCUCAACCGUGGAGGGUCAUUGGAAACUGGAAAACUUGAGUGCGGAAGAGGAAAGUGGAAUUCCAUGUGUAGCGGUGAAAUGCGCAGAGAUAUGGAGGAACACCAGUGGCGAAGGCGACUU
rnacentral:rRNA from 1 species